rnacentral:rRNA from 1 species
GAUGAACGCUAGCGGCAGGCCUAACACAUGCAAGUCGAGGGGCAGCACAGAAACAGCAAUGUUUUGGUGGCGACCGGCGGACGGGUGCGUAACGCGUAUGCAACCUACCUUUAACAGGGGGAUAACGGAGAGAAAUUUCCACUAAUACCCCAUAACAUCGAUCAAGGCAUCUUGAUUGGUUGAAAACUCCGGUGGUUAAAGAUGGGCAUGCGUUGUAUUAGGUAGUUGGUGAGGUAAUGGCUCACCAAGACUACGAUACAUAGGGGGACUGAGAGGUUAGCCCCCCAAACUGGUACUGAGACACGGACCAGACUCCUACGGGAGGCAGCAGUGAGGAAUAUUGGUCAAUGGGGGCAACCCUGAACCAGCCAUGCCGCGUGCAGGAAGACGGCUCUAUGAGUUGUAAACUGCUUUUAAACAGGGAUAAAGCACAGUAUGUAUACUGUGUUGAAGGUACUGUAAGAAUAAGGAUCGGCUAACUCCGUGCCAGCAGCCGCUGUAA